GGUGAGUAACACGUGGGUAACCUGCCUGUAAGACCGGGAUAACUCGCGGAAACGCGAGCUAAUACCGGAUAGGUCCCGUGGCCGCAUGGCGACGGGAGGAAAGAUGGCGCGAGCUAUCGCUUACAGAUGGGCCCGCGGCGCAUUAGCUAGUUGGUGGGGUAACGGCCCACCAAGGCGACGAUGCGUAGCCGACCUGAGAGGGUGAUCGGCCACAUUGGGACUGAGACACGGCCCAAAUUCCUACGGGAGGCAGCAGUAGGGAAUCUUCCGCAAUGGGCGAAAGCCUGACGGAGCAACGCCGCGUGAGCGAAGAAGGCCUUCGGGUCGUAAAGCUCUGUUGUCAGGGAAGAACAAGUACCGGAGUAACUGCCGGUACCUUGACGGUACCUGACCAGAAAGCCCCGGCUAACUACGUGCCANCAGCCGCGGUAAUACGUAGGGGGCGAGCGUUGUCCGGAAUCAUUGGGCGUAGAGCGCGCGCAGGCGGUCCCUUAANUCUGAUGUGAAAUCUUGCGGCUCAACCGCAAGAGGUCAUUGGAAACUGGGGGACUUGAGUGCAGGAGAGGGAAGCGGAAUUCCAUGUGUAGCGGUGAAAUGCGUANAGAUAUGGAGGAACACCAGUGGCGAANGCGGCUUCCUGGCCUGUAACUGACGCUCANGCGCGAAAGCGUGGGGAGCAAACAGGAUUAGAUACCCUGGUAGUCCACGCC
rnacentral:rRNA from 1 species